GAUGAACGCUGACAGAAUGCUUAACACAUGCAAGUCUACUUGAACUUCGGUUUGGGUGGCGGACGGGUGAGUAACGCGUAAAGAACUUGCCUCACAGUUAGGGACAACAUUUGGAAACGAAUGCUAAUACCUGAUAUUAUGAUUUUAGGGCAUCCUAAGAUUAUGAAAGCUAUAUGCGCUGUGAGAGAGCUCUGCGUCCCAUUAGCUAGUUGGAGAGGUAACGGCUCACCAAGGCGAUGAUGGGUAGCCGGCCUGAGAGGGUGAACGGCCACAAGGGGACUGAGACACGGCCCUUACUCCUACGGGAGGCAGCAGUGGGGAAUAUUGGACAAUGGACCAAAAGUCUGAUCCAGCAAUUCUGUGUGCACGAUGACGUUUUUCGGAAUGUAAAGUGCUUUCAGUUGGGAAGAAAAAAAUGACGGUACCAACAGAAGAAGGACGGUAA
rnacentral:rRNA from 1 species